rnacentral:rRNA from 1 species
CGUGUAGGCGGCCUUUCAAGUCAGAUGUGAAAUCUCAGGGCUUGACCCUGAAACUGCAUUUGAAACUGGAGGGCUUGAGGACCGGAGAGGGCAGUGGAAUUCCCAGUGUAGCGGUGAAAUGCGUAGAUAUUGGGAAGAACACCAGUGGCGAAGGCGACUGCCUGGACGGCUCCUGACGCUGAGGCGCGAAAGCUAGGGGAGCGAACG